rnacentral:lncRNA from 1 species
UUAACAACAUCUGGGCUCUUCUUGACUUUUGGAAUCCCUGUCUACCAACCAGAAAUAUUAGAGAAAUAUGAUUAAAAUAAGCUAUGUGUUGCUCAAUAUACGGAUAACCUCAAAGUAAUGGGAGAAGAUACACAAGUGAUCAUUGCCAGGACUGAAGACUGUUCCUAGGACUACUAUUUGGAUCAACAGAAGCUGAAAAUGAGAAUAUCAAAGGCUGGGCAGAUAGUUUCACUCACGGGCAUUGAUCAGGAUGGCUGGAGGUCACCUGCUGCAAGAAGCACUGUGUUUUCUGUGCAGCUUAAUGAGAGGGAGCAUAUCAUUUCAGGACUCUCACAGGAUGCAGUGUU